GAUGAACGCUGGCGGAGUGCCUAACACAUGCAAGUCGAGCGGCAGCGCGAGUAGUUUACUACUUGGCGGCGAGCGGCGGACGGCUGAGUAACGCGUGGGAACAUGCCCCAAAGUGAGGAAUAACUGCCCGAAAGGGUAGCUAAUGCCGCAUACGAUCUUCGGAUUAAAGGAUUUAUCCGCUUUGGGAGUGGCCUGCGUACGAUUAGAUAGUUGGUGAGGUAAUGGCUCACCAAGUCUACGAUCGUUAACUGGUUUGAGAGGAUGAUCAGUCAGACUGGAACUGAGACACGGUCCAGACUCCUACGGGAGGCAGCAGUGAGGAAUCUUCCACAAUGGACGAAAGUCUGAUGGAGCAACUCCGCGUGCAGGAUGAAGGCCUUCGGGUCGUAAACUGCUUUAUGAGUGAAGAAUAUGACGGUAACUCAUGAAUAAGGGUCGGCGUAACUACGUGCCAGCAGCCGCGGU
rnacentral:rRNA from 1 species